UGGGGAAUAUUGCACAAUGGGCGCAAGCCUGAUGCAGCCAUGCCGCGUGUAUGAAGAAGGCCUUCGGGUUGUAAAGUACUUUCAGUCGGGAGGAAGGUGGUAAGGUUAAUAACCUUAUCAAUUGACGUUACCGACAGAAGAAGCACCGGCUAACUCCGUGCCAGCAGCCGCGGUAAUACGGAGGGUGCAAGUGUUAAUCGGAAUUACUGGGCGUAAAGCGCACGCAGGCGGUUGAUUGAGUCAGAUGUGAAAUCCCCGGGCUUAACCCGGGAAUUGCAUCUGAUACUGGUCAGCUAGAGUCUUGUAGAGGGGGGUAGAAUUCCAUGUGUAGCGGUGAAAUGCGUAGAGAUGUGGAGGAAUACCGGUGGCGAAGGCGGCCCCCUGGACAAAGACUGACGCUCAGGUGCGAAAGCGUGGGAAGCAAACAGG
rnacentral:rRNA from 1 species